rnacentral:rRNA from 1 species
AACGAACGCUGGCGGCAGGCCUAACACAUGCAAGUCGAACGUGAAGCCACCUUCGGGUGGUGGAAAGUGGCAGACGGGUGAGUAACGCGUGGGAACGUGCCUUUCGGUGCGGAAUAACCCAGGGAAACUUGGGCUAAUACCGGAUACGCACUUCGGGGGAAAGAUUCAUCGCCGAAAGAUCGGCCCGCGUCGGAUUAGCUAGUUGGUAGGGUAAUGGCCUACCAAGGCGACGAUCCGUAGCUGGUCUGGGAGGAUGACCAGCCACACUGGGACUGAGACACGGCCCAGACUCCUACGGGAGGCAGCAGUGGGGAAUAUUGGACAAUGGGCGAAAGCCUGAUCCAGCCAUGCCGCGUGGGUGAAGAAGGCCUUAGGGUUGUAAACCCCUUUCAGCGGGGAAGAUAAUGACGGUACCCGCAGAAGAAGCCCCGGCUAACUCCGUGCCAGCCGCCGCCGUAAUAC